GCCUGGCUGGCUCAGUCCGUAGAGCACGAGACUCUUGAUCUCGGGGGUGGUGGGUUUGAGCCCCAUGUUGGGUG
rnacentral:tRNA from 1 species